rnacentral:rRNA from 1 species
GAUGAACGCUGGCGGCGUGCUUAACACAUGCAAGUCGAACGGAAAGGCUCCUGCUUGCAGGGGUACUCGAGUGGCGAACGGGUGAGUAACACGUGGGUGAUCUGCCCCGCACUUCGGGAUAAGCCUGGGAAACUGGGUCUAAUACCGGAUAGGACGAUGGUUUGGAUGCCAUUGUGGAAAGUUUUUCGGUGUGGGAUGAGCUCGCGGCCUAUCAGCUUGUUGGUGGGGUAAUGGCCUACCAAGGCGUCGACGGGUAGCCGGCCUGAGAGGGUGUACGGCCACAUUGGGCCUGAGAUACGGCCCAGACUCCUACGGGAGGCAGAAGUGGGGAAUAUUGCACAAUGGGCGCAAGCCUGAUGCAGCGACGCCGCGUGGGGGAUGACGGCCUUCGGGUUGUAAACUCCUUUCGCUAGGGACGAAGCGCAAGUGACGGUACCUGGAGAAGAAGCACCGGCUAACUACGUG